rnacentral:rRNA from 1 species
CCUACGGGAGGCAGCAGUGAGGAAUAUUGGUCAAUGGCCGAGAGGCUGAACCAGCCAAGUCGCGUGAGGGAAGAAUGUCCUAUGGAUUGUAAACCUCUUUUGUCAGGGAGCAAAGUCACCCACGUGUGGCGCUUUGCGAGUACCUGAAGAAAAAGCAUCGGCUAACUCCGUGCCAGCAGCCGCGGUAAUACGGAGGAUGCGAGCGUUAUCCGGAUUUAUUGGGUUUAAAGGGUGCGCAGGCGGAAUGUCAAGUCAGCGGUAAAAUUUCGGGGCUCAACCCCGUCGUGCCGUUGAAACUGGCGUUCUUGAGUGAGCGAGAAGUAUGCGGAAUGCGUGGUGUAGCGGUGAAAUGCAUAGAUAUCACGCAGAACUCCGAUUGCGAAGGCAGCAUACCGGCGCUCAACUGACGCUCAUGCACGAAAGCGUGGGUAUCGAACAGGAUUAGAUACCCCUGUAGUC